GGGUGUGUGUGUGUUUACGCGUGGUCUAUUGUUUACCAGUUACCGUGUACUUUAUAAUAUAAACAAAGGGAUACUAAAGUGUUCACGCGAGGAUUUCUUCAAAGUGGAACUUUACCAGGAGUAUCUUCACAUCAUAGGGUCAAGGUCCUUGUAGAACAAAAUGCAGAGUUCUAGCGUAGGCUAGACUUUUGAAUAAUCUGAACUACACAUCACAUCUUGAGUACAGAGUAAAAAUAUUUCGAGGAUUUUCUGCACAGGACGUUACAUUUUCUGUUGGUCUUCUUUUUUUUCAUUCUUGGAUUAUAUUUGAAAGAAAGUUAUCUCCCGAUACAAUGGAAUACCUCAUGGUCUUCGCCUUCUUAAUUGUUGCAGAACUGACCGCCGUGACCAGCUGGCAACAAGAGUGGCAACCUAAUUAUGUUUCUCGAACGCCAGAAUCUGUCACGUCA
rnacentral:sRNA from 1 species